GACGAACGCUGGCGGCGUGCCUAAUACAUGCAAGUCGAACGCAGUGGGGACGGGUGAGUAACACGUGGGUAAGCUCCCAUCAGAGGGGAUAACACUUGGAAACAGGUGCUAAACCGAUACUGAUGGAUGAAGGAGGGGUGCAUUAGCUAGUUGGUGAGGUAACGGCGCCCCAAGGCGACGAUGCGUAGCCGACCUGAGAGGAUGAUCGGCCCAACUGGGACUGAGACACGGUCCAGACUCCUACGGGAGGCAGCAGUAGGGAAUCUUCGGCAAUGGGCGAAAGUCUGACCGAGCCAUGCCGCGUGAGUGAAGAAGGUUUUCGGAUCGUAAAACUCUUUUAUUUGGGAAGCGGUAUCUAAACAGAAAGCCCCGGCUAACUACGUGCCAGCAGCCGCGGUAAUAC
rnacentral:rRNA from 1 species